GACGAACGCUGGCGGCGUGCUUAACACAUGCAAGUCGAACGGAAAGGCCCUGCUUUUGUGGGGUGCUCGAGUGGCGAACGGGUGAGUAACACGUGAGUAACCUGCCCUUGACUUUGGGAUAACUUCAGGAAACUGGGGCUAAUACCGGAUAGGAGCUCCUGCUGCAUGGUGGGGGUUGGAAAGUUUCGGCGGGUGGGGAUGGACUCGCGGCUUAUCAGCUUGUUGGUGGGGUAGUGGCUUACCAAGGCUUUGACGGGUAGCCGGCCUGAGAGGGUGACCGGCCACAUUGGGACGGAGGUACGGGCCAGACUCCUACGGGAGGCAGCAGUGGGGAAUAUUGCCCAAUGGGCGGAAGCCUGAUGCAGCAACGCCGCGGGCGGGAAGACGGCCUUCGGGUUGUAAACCGCUUUCGCCUGUGACGAAGCGUGAGUGACGGUAAUGGGUAAAGAAGCACCGGCUAACUACGUG
rnacentral:rRNA from 1 species